UUUAUGUUAUAAAAUCUGAACUUUUUCAUUGAAGAGUCUCUAAAAUGCUCUACAUAGAUUUUAUUCUGAUCUUCUAUUUCUUUUUUGAGCCUGUCAAUUAAUUAUCUCUGGACAAUACUUUGUGCCUUGUUUUAUGUUUCAGAAUUCCAGAUACUCAAGGUUGGAGAGCUACUAACCCAGUACAUGAAUUCCCAGUGUAUCUUUCAGUGUUCUGAACCUGUAUUUUACAUUUUCAGAAAAGUUGACCACAGAAGCAUGUUUAUAUUGUAUUAAAACAAACUAUUUUUCUGGAAAGUUUUCCCAUUAAGCGUCUAACCUCCAAGCAUCGAAUCCCAGGCCAAUUUGUUUCAAAGUACCAACCUGGAGAAAAUGCCCUGGAUUUGGAAGCAAAGUAUUGAAUGUUGGAAGUCUGAAUAAAGGAAUCAUACACUGUAUGUGCACCUGAAUGUACUUUACAAGCAUCAGUAGAACACUUCUGAUUGAAGCUUGGUCUUAUGAAGAUAAAAAUUUUAUGUGGACCACAGAUUCUCUAAAAAUCAGGACAUGGGUGAAGCUGGAAACCAUCAUCCUCAACAA
rnacentral:lncRNA from 1 species